rnacentral:pre_miRNA from 3 species
AUUGAGUGACUUUCCAGGUGUCACACAGUGAGUGGCAUAAUCAGAGUACAAUUUGAGUCAUGCCCAUACAUCACAUUGCCAGUGAUUACCCAAGGAAAGUGACGUACAUGU